UGAACUGCUGACCUGAAGGUUGGCUGUUUGAAUCUGUGAGAUGGGGUGAGCUCCUGUCUGUCAGCUCUAGUUUCCCAUGCAGAGACAUUAGAGAAGCCUCCCAGCAGGAUGGUAACACAUCUAGGCAUCCCCUGGGCAAUAUCUCUUUAGACGGCCAAUCCUCUCACAUCAGAAAUUACCCAUAGUGUGUUCUCAAGUCGCUUCUGACACGAUUAAAAAACCUUACUGAUGUGGGGGACUGGUAUUUCCCCCCCCCCCCCCCAAUGCUUUCAGGACUGGUAACCAACCAUAUUUUUGUCCUUGGGCUACAAUAGUAUAUUUAUUUCCUGGAAACUCACCAAGAACUGGCAGCCAAUGACUUGGGGACCAAAAUCAGUCUGUGGACAAUUACUUUGAAUUGCACUGCUAUGUCUAAAUAUGAUUUUAAUUUUCUGCCUAUUGUCUGUCUCUCCUUUUCACACUCUUCCUCUGUGACUAGGUUUACUUUUGAUGUUGUUAUACUUACAGCAUACAAAACACAACAAUUUACAUCUACCUGGGGAUAUUUUGGAGUAAAGAAUAAAGGCUUACUGUGCAAAAUAGGUGCUGUGCCACUGAUAAUCAAUACAAGCCUGAUGGAUGGCCUGCCAGGAGUCUUUCAAGCACAUCAAUUCAGCUGCUAGAUUUUCUGCUUGCUCACUGCUUAACAAAAUAAAUAGAGAUGAAUCAAGGCAUUUAACAUUAAGCUCCAACUCAGGGUUUAGAUCGCUUAAAAUGCACCGCAGUUCCUGGAUUCCCAUUAAAGAAUAUUGAACUCUUGAGUUGUUUUUAAUUGUGUGUGUGUGUGUGUCUCUCUAUGUAAGAAGAAGCAAAGGACUGGAGUCUAAAUGUUAGAAUGUGUUCCUUAGGCAGAAAGAAGCCAGGCUUUGAAGCUACAAGGCUAUUCAAUGCUUUUCAAGCUAGCAACAUUCACACUUGCCUCAAGCCGAAAAGAGUUCUUUCUCCCACCCUGGACCUUGAUAGAUAGAGUGGGUGCUCUCCUUGUUUCCUUUAUUCCUAUGCUGUUCCCUUUCUCUGCUCCGAUUCUGAGCUCGCUGAUAAGAACACACUGGUCAGAAAGGAGGGUAAAUAUAACCGGAUCAGUGGCCUUUCUCUCCCUUUUGCUCUUGGCCUUCCGGGCAGAGAGGGAGGGCUCUUGUACUUGGCGUUCCUUCACUUCCCUUCCCUCCCUCCUUCCUUCGUUCUAUCCAUCCCAGCCUUUCCUGCCUGCGGAGCCAUGGAACUGGGUCAAUGGGUUGGAUGGCGGGGAAAGGGAAAAGGAAGAGGCCUCUAAUUGAAAUGCAUGGACCAGGGCAGAAUAGAGGGGGAGCAUGAUUUCCCUGGAUCUAGACAGGAUACUCCCAUUUAUGCAGGCCAAAAUAAAGUUAUUAUUAUUAUUAUUAUUAUU
rnacentral:lncRNA from 1 species